UGGGGAAUUUUGGACAAUGGGCGCAAGCCUGAUCCAGCCAUGCCGCGUGAGUGAAGAAGGCCUUCGGGUUGUAAAGCUCUUUCGGCCGGGAAGAAAUCGCACAGGCUAAUACCUUGUGUGGAUGACGGUACCGGAAUAAGAAGCACCGGCUAACUACGUGCCAGCAGCCGCGGUAAUACGUAGGGUGCGAGCGUUAAUCGGAAUUACUGGGCGUAAAGCGUGCGCAGGCGGUUGUGUAAGACAGGCGUGAAAUCCCCGGGCUCAACCUGGGAACUGCGCUUGUGACUGCACGGCUAGAGUACGGCAGAGGGGGGUGGAAUUCCACGUGUAGCAGUGAAAUGCGUAGAGAUGUGGAGGAACACCGAUGGCGAAGGCAGCCCCCUGGGCCGAUACUGACGCUCAUGCACGAAAGCGUGGGUAGCAAACAG
rnacentral:rRNA from 1 species